AGGAGGCUAAUUUAAGAGGCAAGGGUAUAGCGAGCUAGAGCUUUAGCCGGUUUGAGGUAAGCAAUUGAUGUAAAUGAUGUCCUGAGAGUUUGAAACCCCGGAAUUUCACAUCGUAACGCUAUAUUGAGGUGAAUUGCACGCCGGAUAACGGGCGUGGGGUAGAGCACCGUUGGGGAUUGUGACUUAGUCCGUCCCGAGAGAUAUUUUUACCGUAUUUUCUACUUGAACUAAAUUGAAAAUCAUCCUUACUAGGAUUUAAUUGUUACAUUUGGGCUUCUUGCCAAUUAUUUGAAUCCUUCAGGGAUUGACAUCACUGUUUUCGCAUACAUGCAUAUCAUUUGAUCUCAGUCCAAGGUUUUAAAUACUGUUUUGCAAACUCAGCCAUCUUUCUAAGAUUUGAAAACUUAAAUGAUAUUUCUAAAUGAUAUUUCGGGCUGAGAACUACUGUUUUACAAAUGCCCAACGGGCUUAUUAUGAUUUCUGGACUGAGCAUGGAUCGGGCUGCGCGCCGCAGCAGUGAUUUGAAACAGUGGUAACCAUGACACUAUAUGAUGUGACUUGAAACAGUGGUAACAAUGGCACUGUGUGAUAUAAAUUAGUCAGGUAACAAUGACUGACCAGGACUGGAUUGAUGCCACGAGGUGGCUUGUUAUUGCGUUCGGGCUGUAGGAGCCCCUCCAGAGUCUGUACAUACCCCUAGUGAGCGCCGUCGACGAUAAAUAAAAUGGAUGGCUCGGGUUGCACACCGCAGUGGGUACUAGAGAGUACCAUCAUAUGUAUUGCAUUGCACUCAUGCAUUUGUUUUUAUCUGUUAUACCUGUGUCAGUAUUUGGUACUCUGAUUUAAUUGACUUGUUGCUCCACUAUUUGUUGUUCUAAACUGCCAGUUAUAGCUUGCUUUGUAUUUUUCCAUGAUUUCUUAUUCUUAAUCUUUAUUUAUGUUUAUUACUCACUGGGUCGGAGUACUCACAUUACUCUCUGCACCUUGUGUGCAGAUCCAGGUACACCACGGACUGAGUGAGGAUUUGUUUAGCUGAGCAGCAGUAUCCGGGAGUAUUGAGGUAGCUGCAUGGCAUUCGCAGCCUUGAUCUCUCCCCUCUAUCUCUAUCUUUUAUUCCGUAUUUUUUCCUAGACAGACUUGCAAUAGAUGGAUAUUCUGUAUUAGAGGCUCAUAUUUGUGACACCGGAUUCUAUUGGGAUAUGGUGUGGUAUUUUAAUUGAACUUCCGCAG
rnacentral:lncRNA from 1 species